CCCUUCCCCUUCCAGGCGUUCAUUCCCGGCCAUGGAGCCCAGGCAGGCGGACGUGUCCAUCCCACUGCAGUCCUCCGGCUGGGGGGCGGCGGCCCCCGGCCCCCGCUCGGAGCCGCAGCCCCGGGACUACGUGCUCUGGUCGGUGUUCAAUGUGCUGCUGUGGUGCGCGCUGGGCGGGCUGGGCUGCUUCGGCUUCCCCCCGCUCGUCUUCUCCAUCAAGGCCCGUGACUGCAAAGCGCUGGGGGACCUGGAGGGUGCUCGGCGCCACGGCGACCGCGCCAGGGUGGCGAACAUCAUCUGCUCCGUGGUGGUCGCCGUCGCCUUGGUGAUCUUCAUCAUCAUCGCCGCCAUCGCCAUAUCCACGCUCAGGGCCAGCUGACCAGCGCCUGGCCCCACCCGCGGGGUGCUCCCGCCUCCGAAAUGUGCCCGGGAAGGGGGUGACCCCGGUCCCCAAGGGGGUGACCCCGGUCCCCAAGGGGGUGACCCCGGUCCCCUCGCUGCCCGCAGCGCCCGGGAGGGGACGGGGCGGAGGCUGGGGCGUGGGGACAGGGGACAGCCCCCACCCCCCUUUGCUCUGCUCACACCCCUCCUGGCCCCUGUGACACGCCUGUCCCUCACCGCUGCCACCGACGGACGCCAAACGCCCUCGCUGUCACCUCAUCCACCGCGGGAUGUCGCAGACAGCCCUCGGGAAUCUCUGUGGCGUCCUCCUCCUCCUCCUGCUCCUCUCCCUGCCUCCGUCCUGCCGCGGAGCAGGGCGCUUCCAGCCCAAAUCCCAGGGAAGUUUCUUCCCAACAUCUUGGAGGUUAUAGAUACAUAUUAUAAUAUCGGCUUUCCGCAAGUAUUAAAAUGGAUUUUAUACGUGUAGUGUUAAAGUAACUUUGUUACUUUAAAGAUAUAAUUUUACUUUUUAGUUUUACUAAAGAUAUAGAUUUAAAGAUAUAGUUUUUAUUUCUGUUGUUAAUUAAGCUUGGUCAUAGUAGUAAAACAGCCAGUAUAAGCAUACUUGUGUUAAAAUGCCUGCUUAGAUGAGAUAACAUCCAAUAAACACAUAAAAAAGACCCUUGCUUACAGAUAUACCAACUAUCAACACUCACCAUCUGAAGACAGUGUGGGCAAGAGCCAAAACUAAAAACAGUAAUAAAAAACCCUAAAACCACAACCAAAAAAUACGCGUUCUAAAAAAGUAAAACCAAAAAAGAGUCAUACUGAGCAAUUCUUAAUAUAUGUAAACUAGUUUAAGAAAGAAGUUUACUAUACACAAGAGUCUAUAAAUACACGACAGGCUGAUAUAAGAAAAAAAGUGUUUAAGAAGUGUGUCUGAAGAUAACAGCAUGCUCUUGAGAACCAAGACACGCCCAGCCAUAAUCUUUGCUCUGUUCUCCUUAUGACCUAUUAUCCUUUAUUAAACUUUUACAAUUUUCA